UGCCCACUGAUUUUUAUUAAAGGGCUGCAGUAUUUUGACUGUACAAAGGUAGCAUAAUCAUUAGUCAUUUAAUUGAUGACUUGUAUGAAUGAUUGGAUGAAAUAUUAACUGUCUAAUUAUUUAUUAAUAGAAUUUAAUUUUUUAGUUAAAAAGCUAAAAUUUUUUAAAAAGACGAGAAGACCCUUUAGAGUUUUAUUAUUAUAUUUAAUUAAAGUUAUUUAUAUAGAUAAUUAUUUAAUUUUAUUUAAUAAUUUUGUUGGGGUGAUAGAAAGAUUAAUAAAACUUUUUUUUUUUAUAAACAUUGAUAAGUGAAUAAUUGAUCCAAUUAUAUUGAUUAUAAGAAAAAAUUACCUUAGGGAUAACAGCGUAAUUUUAUUUUUUAGUUCAAAUAAAAAAUAGAGUUUGCGACCUCGAUGUUGGAUUAAGAUAAAAUUUAAAUGUAGAAGUUUAAAGUUUUGA
rnacentral:rRNA from 1 species